rnacentral:rRNA from 1 species
GAUGAACGCUAGCGGCAGGCUUAACACAUGCAAGUCGAGGGGUAGAGGCUUUCGGGCCUUGAGACCGGCGCACGGGUGCGUAACGCGUAUGCAAUCUACCUUGUACUGGGGGAUAGCCCAGAGCAAUUUGGAUUAAUACCCCAUAGUAUUUUCGGUUGGCAUCAACCGAUUAUUAAAGCUUUUCGGUACAAGAUGAGCAUGCGUCCCAUUAGCUAGUUGGUAUGGUAACGGCAUACCAAGGCUACGAUGGGUAGGGGUCCUGAGAGGGAGAUCCCCCACACUGGUACUGAGACACGGACCAGACUCCUACGGGAGGCAGCAGUGAGGAAUAUUGGUCAAUGGUCGCAAGACUGAACCAGCCAUGCCGCGUGCAGGAUGAAGCAUCUAUGGUGUGUAAACUGCUUUUGUACGGGAAGAAACACACCUACGUGUAGGAGCUUGACGGUACCGUAAGAAUAAGGAUCGGCUAACUCCGUGCCAGCCGCCGCAGUAAGAC